rnacentral:lncRNA from 1 species
CCAGUGAAGCAAUUGACCCAAACCCGUUGCCGUCCAGACUUCAUCAGAAUAAACAAAAGAAGUUGCAGAAAUUAUUAAAAACAGCUGUGCGUGCGUGUGCGUGUGUGUGUAAGAUCGAGAGAGGGAGAGUGGGAGUAGAGGCCGUUCCAAAGAGUACAGCUCAGGGUUUACGCGCAGAAAACGAACUCCAGAUCGCGACCUUCUUCUUCUCUGGCCGCUGUAGUAAAAUAAGCCAUCUCCGUGCAAUCAAAUAGCUUGGCAGUCCCAAAGAGCCGGGGAGAGCGUGAGAUAAAAAAAAAAGGGAAAACGCUGAGAAGAAAGAAGGCCAAGAAAACGGCUGCCAGUGCCAGUGCUGCUCGAUCCAGCUACAGUGCCGCCGGUCCAAUCCAACAACCGGCCGAUUGAGCCCUUGGGCACUGACAGACUCGCCUCCAGGCUCCAGCAGCAGCAGGAGGGGAGGUAAACGAAAAGAGCACAAGAGUAG